UACGUAGGGUGCGAGCGUUGUCCGGAAUUACUGGGCGUAAAGAGCUCGUAGGUGGUUUGUCGCGUUGUCCGUGAAAACUCGCAACUCAAUUGUGGGCGUGCGGGCGAUACGGGCAGACUGGAGUACUGCAGGGGAGACUGGAAUUCCUGGUGUAGCGGUGAAAUGCGCAGAUAUCAGGAGGAACACCGAUGGCGAAGGCAGGUCUCUGGGCAUUAACUGACGCUGAGGAGCGAAAGCACGGGAAGCGAACAGG
rnacentral:rRNA from 1 species